rnacentral:RNase_P_RNA from 1 species
UCUGCAAAUACGACUAUCGCUUGAUUGAAACAUAUUAAGAGGAAAGUCCGGACAGCAUAGAGCAGUCUACUACCUAACGGGUAGGUGUGUUGAAGUCAAGUUCAAUGCAACGGAUAGUGUCACAGAAAAUAACCGUCCUGACAUUUAUCGUCGGGAUAAGGGUGAAAAUGUGAGGUAAGAGCUCACAGGUUUAUCGGGUGACCGAUGAAUCGGAUAAACCCUAGACGCUGAAAGACCAAAUAUAUCUUGUACGAGGUAGCUCGCCUCACUCCUUUAGAUGCAAAUCUAUUGGAAAUCAAGAAGGGUAGGUCGUUAGAUCUCGAUGGUGACAUCGGGACUAGAUAAAUGAUAGUCGUCUGCCUUUUAGGUAGAUUACAGAAUCCGGCUUAGGUAUUUGCAGAUUUU